UUGAUUGAAGAAUAUUAAUGAUGUUGUUGAUUGAAGAAUAUUAAUGAUGUUGUUGAUUGAAGAAUAUUAAUGAUGUUGUCUACCAAUUAUAUUGUGAGGUGAACAACCAAUCUCUUAGGCCUAUAAAUAGAUACCUCUAUCAAGAGAAGUUUACACAUAUAGAAGAGGAAGAGAAGGAAGAAUGAGGGUGAGUGAGUUGAGAGGAAAGAGAGCAAGAGAGAAAUUCUCCAAGAGAGAAAAUUGAGUGAGUCAUACAUAUUGUAAACACAAAGUUGUAGCCCUAUUAUUUUACAUAGUGGAAAAGUUACUGCUGCUGCUCUCCGGGGAUGUAGGCAUAGCCGAACCUCGUUAAAUACUGUGUCUCAUCUACUUUACGUGCAGCUCAAUAUUCGCACA
rnacentral:lncRNA from 1 species